GCUGGGGCUGGGGUGCUGGUUGCGCCUGGAUGCUGGUGUGCGUGGGCAACGCGCUAUUUGCGCGCCGGGGUGGGAGGAUGCCUGCCGCCUCUGAAUUGCUGGGCAGGGACCUGCAUGUAGCAGGCAUCUGUGGGCAUAUACCUGUGAGUGUGCACAUUGUGUUAGGGGUGUGUGUGUGUGUGUGUGUGUGUGUGCCUGCGUGCAUGUGUGACAAGCAGCCCUCCCUCUGGGCCUGGCUGCUGGCCCCUGAACCCUGCGAACCAAUCUCUAACAACAAUCAUAGUAACAAUAAAUAAUAAAGAACAAUAAAACAGUAGUUAACAGUCCCUCCCUAGCAGGAUAACAAUAAAAUGCAAGAGGAGAUAUUUUGAGGAGGGGCCAGGGGUAGGAGUCAGGAUCACAGCAUCUGAGGGAAGACAAGGGAGGAAGGAAGGAAGUUAGCUUCUUCCUAUGCCCUUGGGGGGCUGGGUUUGGGAACCCCCCUCUCCAGACAAGGUCCUCCGGCCAGAGGAGGAUAGGGAGAGCCAGGAGGCCGCUCUUUCCUGCUUCUUUUUCUCUGGCUUUUGCUUUGUGCCAUCAGGGGAGGGAUCCCACAUAUGGGGGUGAUUAGUGGCUUUGGGGAGUCUCUGAAGCCCCUGUUUUAAAGAGGAGAGCAAGCAAACAGAGUCAGGUGGGGGGAGGAGGCAGAGAUGGAUGAGACGAUGGCCAGAGCCGGGGUCCUGGCCACUCGGGCAACAGAGGUGCCCGGGAGGACGCGCCGCCGGGUAUGGACGGAAGCAGACGAACAUUUAUGGCCGCCCGAGAGAGAGAGGGGAGAGCAAGGCCGGGUUCGGGUUUCCGGUAGGCCCAGGGAAAGUUCCCUUCCUAGGGGAUUUUCAAACACACAAACGAACAAACAAAAACAACAACAAAAAAAAAAAAAAAAGAGAGAAGAAGGGAGGGGUUGAGGAGCGCUGAAUUUUCCUUCGCGGGCUUGGAGCGAGCGGAUUGCCAUAAAGGAAGAGAGGACCACGAUCCCGGAUCCUUCCACGUCCGCCUCAUUCUCUCCAGGCCUCUCCACUUGCGGGAGCUCGCAGCCACCCGGACACUGACACGGCGGGGGCUUCUGGACCGCCCCCCAUCCACUCCGCAUGGUUUCCCAAAGCCUAAUGACCUCCAACCCUCCGGGGGGGGGGGGAAUAUCCGUGCCCUGACACCUCUGCACCCUGUCAUCUGUGAGCGUGCUCACUUCGGGAAUAUCGAAGAAGAAGAAGAAGGCGGCAGGCGGGCUUAGAGCCGUGUUUACAUCUAGUUCUACUGAUCCGUUCACAUCUGGAGACUUUAUUUAUAACCCCCACUAUAACUCUCUCUGUUUGGAGGCACGGGUAGCUCUAUUGACAGACUGAUGUCUAGAAAAUAUUGCUCUAUCUCUAACCAUACCUAAAUGUGCUGUGCUUGUAUUUACAGAUUUAUGCUUGGGGAAAAUAUAAUUAUUUCCAUUGUAUUUGUGCAUAUACCAUAGUUAUAGAAGCAGAUUUAUAUAUGAGAAAAUAUACGACUCUCUUAUAGCCA